UGGGGAAUUUUGGACAAUGGGGGAAACCCUGAUCCAGCCAUGCCGCGUGAGUGAAGAAGGCCUUCGGGUUGUAAAGCUCUUUCGGCCGGAACGAAAUCGGGUACGUGAAUAUCGUGCCUGGAUGACGGUACCGGAGUAAGAAGCACCGGCUAACUACGUGCCAGCAGCCGCGGUAAUACGUAGGGUGCGAGCGUUAAUCGGAAUUACUGGGCGUAAAGCGUGCGCAGGCGGUUCGUUAAGUCAGACGUGAAAGCCCCGGGCUUAACCUGGGAACGGCGUUUGAAACUGGCGAGCUGGAGUACGGCAGAGGGGGGUGGAAUUCCACGUGUAGCAGUGAAAUGCGUAGAUAUGUGGAGGAACACCGAUGGCGAAGGCAGCCCCCUGGGCCGAUACUGACGCUCAUGCACGAAAGCGUGGGGAGCAAACAGG
rnacentral:rRNA from 1 species